CAGUGUAAGUAGUUAUUAAUGAACCAAUUACUGCAACAGAUAUAACGCCAGUAUAAAAGAUUGUUUCGUUCUGUUCGUGAGCAUUGUAUUAUCUGCUCCAACCUAUCUACCUCAACAUGAAAUUCGUGAUCAUCGCUCUCGCGUGCAUCGUGGCCGUCGGCUGCUUGGUGGGCGGUGGAAGUGCACAACCAGCUAUCCCAACAACAACGCCUUUCUAUCCGCCUACUGCAUGGUUCUAUCCGACUACUACGCGUUCCUAUCCAUCUACUACAGGUUUCUAUCCGUCUACUACAGGAUACUAUCCGCCUCCCACGACGGGACCAUGGGGUUACUAAAGAAUUAUAACCAUCGAUAUGUACCCCAGCGUACACUCGUCAUGUAAUUAAAUAAUUUGCAAAUUA